rnacentral:tRNA from 1 species
ACUUAUAUAGUUUAAAAAACCAUUAUAUUUUCAAUAUAAAAUUAUUAAUUUUUCAAUUUAAUUAUAAGUA